rnacentral:misc_RNA from 1 species
AUAAAACUCACGACCAAUGCUUUCAAGCUUUUGCAUCAUACAUAUGGUUAGAUAUUUGAGAUACGGCAGCUGACCAAGAGGAGGGAGGGCUUUACAGUAGCCACAAUGGAAGAAUUCAAUGCUCUCUAGAUUAGACAGCGCUGAAUCUCCCAUCCAAUUUGGAAACUUGCCAUCAGGAUAUACAUCAAUAGUUAAUUCUCUAAGGUUGGUAUGAGGUGCAAGACAUUCAAGCAGCUCCUCAUCAAUCGCAUCCCGCACA